AACGCGAAGAACCUUACCAAGGUUUGACAUGGGCCGAAAACUCGCAGAGAUGCGGGGUCCUUCGGGGCGGUUCACAGGUGGUGCAUGGCUGUCGUCAGCUCGUGUCGUGAGAUGUUGGGUUAAGUCCCGCAACGAGCGCAACCCUCGUCCUAUGUUGCCAGCGGGUCAUGCCGGGGACUCAUGGGAGACUGCCGGGGUCAACUCGGAGGAAGGUGGGGAUGACGUCAAGUCAUCAUGCCCCUUAUGUCUUGGGCUGCAAACAUGCUACAAUGGCCGGUACAGAGGGCUGCGAGCCUGCAAGGGUGAGCGAAUCCCGGAAAGCCGGUCUCAGUUCGGAUCGGGGUCUGCAACUCGGCCCCGUGAAGCCGGAGUCGCUAGUAAUCGCGGAUCAGCAACGCCGCGGUGAAUACGUUCCCGGGCCUUGUACACACCGCUAGUC
rnacentral:rRNA from 1 species